CCUACGGGAGGCAGCAGUGAGGAAUAUUGGUCAAUGGGCGCGAGCCUGAACCAGCCAAGUAGCGUGAAGGAUGACUGCCCUACGGGUUGUAAACUUCUUUUAUAAAGGAAUAAAGUCAGGCACGUGUGCCUUAUUGUAUGUACUUUAUGAAUAAGGAUCGGCGAACUCCGGUCCAGCAGCCGCGGUAAUACGGAGGGACCGAGCUGUAUCCGGAUUUAUUGGGUUUAAAGGGAGCGUAGAUGGGUUGUUAAGUCAGUUGUGAAAGUUUGCGGCACAACCGUAAAAGUGCAAUUGAUACUGGCAGUCGUGAGUGGAGUUGAGGUAGGCGGAAUGCGUGGUGUAGCGGUGAAAUGCUUAGAUAUCACGAAGAACUCCGAUUGCGAAGGCAGCUUACUAGAGUGCCACUGACAUUGAUGCACGAAAGUGUGGGUAUCAAACAGGAUUAGAUACCCUAGUAGUC
rnacentral:rRNA from 1 species